rnacentral:ncRNA from 1 species
UAAUAGAUAAAUUUUUUAUGGGUUUUAUAAUUUAUUAUAAAUUUAUUUUACAUAUAAAUUUUAGUAUUAAUUUUUAAUUAUUUUAAUAAUAUUUAAUUAAGAAUUAUAGUAAUUAAAAUUAAAAAUUUAAGAAAUUAAGAUUUAGUAAUAUAGAAAUUAAUAACUAAUUUUGUGCCAGCAGUUGCGGUUAAACAGAAGUUAAAUUAAAUUAUUUCAAUAUAUAAUUAAUAAAUAAGUUUAAAAUAAAUUUUAAAUUAUUAAGUGAAAUUUUAAUUUGAAUAAAUUUUAUAAAAUAAUUAUGAUUUAAUAAAUUUUAAUAUAAACUAGGAUUAGAUACCCUAUUAUUAAAAAUUUAAUUAAAAAUAUUAAAAUAGUAAAUAAUAUAUUAUUGAAACUUAAAUAAUAUGGCGGUAUUUUAGUUCAUUUAGAGGAAUCUGUCUAGUAAUUGAUAAUCCACGAAUAAAUUUACUUAAUUUAAAAUUUUGUAUAUCAUUGUUAAAAAAAUAUUUUAAAAUAAAAAUAAUAUUUAAAAAUUUAAAUUUAAAAUUAAUUCAGAUCAAGAUGCAGAUUAUAAUUAAGAUAUUGAUGGAUUACAAUAAAUUUAUUUAAAUGGAAAAAUUUUUGUAAAAAUUAUUAAAAGUGGAUUUAAAUGUAAUUUUAAUUAAUUUAUUAAAAUGAUUAAAAAUUAAAAUAUGUACAUAUUGCCCGUCACUUUCAUUUAAAAGUUGAAAUAAGUCGUAACAAAGUAGAAGUACUGGAAAGUGUUUCUAGAAUGAA